AAGCCUAUGAUGAUUAUCGAUCUUUAAGUUGGAAUUACCGGCUGAAUUUUGAUUGAUGUGUAACAGACUGGCUGUCUGAGGCUUCCC
rnacentral:snoRNA from 1 species